rfam:Coniophora puteana RWD-64-598 SS2 unplaced genomic scaffold CONPTscaffold_23, whole genome shotgun sequence.
GGCGCUAUGGUGUAGUGGUAUGCACAUGGCUCUCAUUUGGACUUCCGCCACAGCCCAGGUUCGAUUCCUGGUGGUGCCC